rnacentral:rRNA from 1 species
AAGCACCUACGGGAGGCAGCAGUGGGGAAUAUUGCACAAUGGGGGAAACCCUGAUGCAGCGACGCCGCGUGAGUGAAGAAGUAUCUCGGUACGUAAAGCUCUAUCAGCAGGGAAGAAAAUGACGGUACCUGACUAAGAAGCCCCGGCUAACUACGUGCCAGCAGCCGCGGUAAUACGUAGGGGGCAAGCGUUAUCCGGAUUUACUGGGUGUAAAGGGAGCGUAGGCGGCGAUGCAAGUCAGAAGUGAAAGCCCGGGGCUCAACUCCGGGACUGCUUUUGAAACUGUAUGGCUAGAUUGCAGGAGA